rnacentral:lncRNA from 1 species
UCAACCGCAUCAUCAAGCGUCUCGACCACAGGUUCACCGUCUCCCAGAUCACCGACAAGAUCCGCAGGCUCAGAGACAAGCACCACAACCAUGCAAGGAACAGAGCCCUGGUAAGGAACCAUCACGACCGGCGAAUAUUCAAGCUUUCCAAAAGAAUUUGGGGCAAGAAAGCAACACCCAGAAAGAAGAAUAGCAAGUCAGAAGAUCAAGGGGCUAUUGAAAUGGGAGGUGAUGGGGUCGAGAAAUUGGACAAGUUUCCAUACCUGGUGGCUGAGUUUUCCAAGGUUUUGCCCGAAAAUGAAGUGUGGAAACAGAAGAUGAAGAGAGUGGAAGAGGAGAAGUUGAGGAAGAUGGAUCAAGAAUGGGUGAUGUUGAAGGUUGAAGAAGCUAAAUUGGUGGCUAAGAAGGCUG